AGUGAACGCUGGCGGUAGGCCUAACACAUGCAAGUCGAACGGCAGCACAGUAAGAGCUUGCUCUUACGGGUGGCGAGUGGCGGACGGGUGAGGAACACAUCGGAAUCUACUUUUUCGUGGGGGAUAACGUAGGGAAACUUACGCUAAUACCGCAUACGACCUACGGGUGAAAGCAGGGGAUCUUCGGACCUUGCGCGAUUGAAUGAGCAGAUGUCGGAUUAGCUAGUUGGCGGGGUAAAGGCCCACCAAGGCGACGAUCCGUAGCUGGUCUGAGAGGAUGAUCAGCCACACUGGAACUGAGACACGGUCCAGACUCCUACGGGAGGCAGCAGUGGGGAAUAUUGGACAAUGGGCGCAAGCCUGAUCCAGCCAUACCGCGUGGGUGAAGAAGGCCUUCGGGUUGUAAAGCCCUUUUGUUGGGAAAGAAAAGCAGCAGGUUAAUACCCCGCUGUUCUGACGGUACCCAAAGAAUAAGCACCGGCUAACUUCGUG
rnacentral:rRNA from 1 species